GGGUAGAGGGUUGGGACGGCAAAUCAGUCGGGAGGGGAGGAGGCAACGAGGUAGAGGGGACCGGGAUAUCGGGAGGGGGUACCACUGGAGAAGGGGUUGGAGGGGUGGGAACGGGGGCUGGGUCAGGGCAGUAAGGGCAGAGAUUAGGGACGGCAAAUAUGUUAAAAGAAAAAGAAAAAAAAUUUCAAACACAAGAAAUACAAAUGCACCUAACCAACACAGUGGUAGGAAUGUGCACGGGUACUUAACUUGGUAUGAGAUGAAUGCAGCUUCCCAAGAGGUUUCCCCCAAACGAACCUCAAAUGCAGAUAUGUAAAUGGACAAAAUAGGGAUACAGCUGAAUGACU